rnacentral:rRNA from 2 species
CGAGCGGACUUGAUGGGAGCUUGCUCCUGUCAAGUUAGCGGCGGACGGGUGAGUAACACGUGGGCAACCUGCCCAAUAGUUGGGGAUAACUCCGGGAAACCGGGGCUAAUACCGAAUAAUACAUUCCAUCUCCUGUUGGAAUGUUGAAAGAUGGUUUACGCUAUCGCUAUUGGAUGGGCCCGCGGCGCAUUAGCUAGUUGGUGAGGUAACGGCUCACCAAGGCGACGAUGCGUAGCCGACCUGAGAGGGUGAUCGGCCACACUGGGACUGAGACACGGCCCAGACUCCUACGGGAGGCAGCAGUAGGGAAUCUUCCACAAUGGGCGAAAGCCUGAUGGAGCAACGCCGCGUGAGUGAAGAAGGUUUUCGGAUCGUAAAACUCUGUUGUAAGGGAAGAACAAGUACAGUAGUAACUGGCUGUACCUUGACGGUACCUUAUUAGAAAGCCACGGCUAACUACGUGCCAGCAGCCGCGGUAAUACGUAGGUGGCAAGCGUUGUCCGGAAUUAUUGGGCGUAAAGCGCGCGCAGGUGGUCCUUUAAGUCUGAUGUGAAAGCCCACGGCUCAACCGUGGAGGGUCAUUGGAAACUGGGGGACUUGAGUGCAGAAGAGGAAAGUGGAAUUCCAAGUGUAGCGGUGAAAUGCGUAGAGAUUUGGAGGAACACCAGUGGCGAAGGCGACUUUCUGGUCUGUAACUGACACUGAGGCGCGAAAGCGUGGGGAGCAAACAGGAUUAGAUA